rnacentral:lncRNA from 1 species
CUCUGCCUGCUCCACUUCCCGUCCGUGUUUCUGGAACUCUACGGUGUAUCAAGGAGCUAUUUUAAGUCCUGGAUCGAGUCGUCCAACUUUCUGGCCAGCCAUGGUGGUAGAAAUGGAAAAGCACUGAAGUCCGUGUCUCCCAGGGCCCCUGAACAGCCAGAUGGAGUAAGUGGCUUUUUGGCAAGCAGCUGUUUGCUCUCCUGGCCUUCACCUUGGGGACCCUGGGUGGGCCCACAGAGGGCACUGACAGCCAGUCCACCCGCCACCUCUCCACCUUGACCUCAGGAAAAAGGCUUGGUGCACAUUUCUUGCAAAGGUCCAGUGCUCUCUGGUAACAGGGCCUGGCUGCAGGGCAGAGGGGUCCAGGCAGAUCUGAAGGGAACAGCUCUGGACUCGCAUUUAGAGUCCCGCUUAAGAUCAGGGACAUGGGGUCAGAGAAGACUGGGGUUGAGGGAAUGAGCUGAACCAGACUCGGUGGCCAAGGCCGUGUGACCCGUUUGGACUCAAUGUUAUGGUCGAAUGCCUAGUGUUUCCACACACCUGGCUUCCAUCUUUGCUGAGCCGCCUCAGGGGGAGGAUUAGCUGUAGAUAUGUGCGUGUGAGAGGCUGACAGGCUCCCUGGGUCCCCAGCUGCUGACUGAGGAGAGGGGCCUUCUACCCAGCAGAUAAAAAACUGUUCCUUCCAAGAACACUGCCCGCCCCUUCCAUCUCAGCCCUCACACCCUGGGACACAGCACCUAAUUAGGGUUAGAGGAGUGAGGUGAACUGUUCACUUGAUCAGGUUCCCUUUGGAUUUCUUCCACUGAGUGGACUGCAGACUCUCUAAAGAGGGCUCAUGGUGCAGCGGAAGAACAUUGAACUGGGAAUUGAGAGCCCUGAGCUCCUGUCUCAGUUUUAGUACCCAGUGGUCUGGGGCCUCCCUCCAAACCUCUCUUUUAAUUGAUUAAAGGGUAUCAUAAUAGCUUUCAACCAGGCUCUGUAAAGGUACAGGAGAUAAAGGUGAGAGGGGAG